AUGAUGUUGCCACUAUCCACCCAAACUUAAAUAUAAGGUGCCUCUCUUUAGUAGAGCAGAUUGGGCCAGGUUUGGUGCAUGUAGUCAAUCGAAAAAAAUUGCUCUACCAUGUCCAGUCGGAGGCUCAAGAAUGGAGACAUUGGAAUGUCCUCAUUCUCCUGACAUCUGGUCACUUCAGCAUGGUGUUCUUCUGUUUAAAGAUUUCCUCAUUUGUCUGGUUUUAAAGGACCAAGUGUCAGCAUUACAGAAAAGGCACGGAUGGGUGAAAGCUGGUGAAUGACACAAGAGUUUUUCCUCUAUAUGCAUUCAGCAGUGGCAUCGUUGAAUGGGGCAUAUACAUACUCAGUCCAACACACACGCAAGUGUGUGCACAACAAACAGGAUAUUUGACAAAAAAGAGCAGAAGGGGUUUUACAUAACACUUUCCUUACCAGAGGCAAAAGAAAUACAACACAAGUACCAGAGUUUAGUUAAACAUUAACUGAGUUUCUGAGUGUCCAUGGAAAAGUGCAAAACCAAACUAACUGGCUACUAGUUAAUCCUGUUUGACUAUGUAGGUCUAUGUCUACAUGCUGAACAAAUUCUUGGUAAAACUGCAAAUAAUAAACCCAUAUAAAAUUUACUCUUUUAUUACAAGUGACAAAAAAGUUAUAAUAGUAAAGGAAAAAUAU